rnacentral:lncRNA from 1 species
UUCUUCAUUUUUCUUGUAGAAAAAAGUAUUUUUCUUUAUGUUUUAUUUUUUUAUUUUUCUGCAUCUUUUUUCCUCAGUUCUGCUCUCACCCGCACUCGCUCCGAGUUCUCCUUCUCCGAUGCCGGCGUUGGUGCUGGCACUAUUGAAGACAGAGAAAGAAGAUCCCGCGCUGUCUUCAUUAACGUCGUGGAGGGUUGUGGAAGUAGUGGAGGUAGGUUGAAGAGAAAAAAAAAGAGAGGAAGAGG